GCUAGCGUUAUCCGGAUUUACUGGGCGUAAAGGGUGCGUAGGCGGUCUUUCAAGUCAGGAGUGAAAGGCUACGGCUCAACCGUAGUAAGCUCUUGAAACUGGGAGACUUGAGUGCAGGAGAGGAGAGUGGAAUUCCUAGUGUAGCGGUGAAAUGCGUAGAUAUUAGGAGGAACACCAGUGGCGAAGGCGGCUCUCUGGACUGUAACUGACGCUGAGGCACGAAAGCGUGGGGAGCAAACAGGAUUAGAUACCCUGGUAGUCCACGCUGUAAACGAUGAGUACUAGGUGUCGGGGGUUACCCCC
rnacentral:rRNA from 1 species